UUUCCUCCAGAAAACAAGACAAUAUCUUAUGGCAUUUUAAACAAGACAAAAAUACUGAGUAAGAAAAGUAUUUUUGCAGUGUUGAUUUUACGAUCUCAGAAUAAAAGUUGUGUGACAAGACGGGGUUAAGGGUUUAAACGCAUGUGGUGAUAUUUCUGAGAUUCAAAUCAAAUCAUCCUGUAUAAACUGCAGACUGACUGGUAUGUCUCUUCACCAACGAUUUGUACAGCUGAAAUGAGCAAGUUGUCCUCAUUUUUCUCAUAUCUUAAACCCUGUAUUCCUCACUUGUACAGCACUUCUUCGGACGAUGACACCUCCUUAGCUGAACUGGGUACAGCUGGAACCAGUUCGCGGAAAGACUUCUCUGCCUUUGUGACCAGAUUUCCGGUUUCUCUGGAGGGCCAGCCACCAACCAAAAGGCAGCGGGUUGAUUCAGGGUUUCCUGCAGACCGUGUCUUUUACGACAAGUGGCGGACUUCUCAGUACGCCCAGAGAGAGGAGUAUCUGUUCAGCACGCUUCACACUCCGCAAGCCUUCAGCCGUAAAGGUGGCGAGGCUGAUCGCGCAGGAGGGGUGGAAGGCCAACCAUCCCAAGCCCGAAGAGAUCGAACGGUUGUGGAAACCGGCUCCCAAGCGCACCAUCGAGACUGAUGAGGUCAUAAUUAAAUGUGUGUCUGAGCAGACCUGGACAGGCCUGGCCAUCAAGGACUUUGGUGCCGAGCAAGGUCUAGGAGUGGUUGCAACACGACGGUUUUCUAAAGGCGACAUUGUGUGCGAUUACCACGGGAAGGUAAUCCCAGCUGCAGAAGGGAGGGCCAUGAUGCAGAACAUUCAUGACGAGGCCGGGUACGUGUUCUUCUUUAAAGCUGGACAGAGAGACCUGUGCAUCGACGCCCAGACCUUCCCCUGCGAGUGCCACCCCGACGCAAACACAGUUGGCAGAAGAAUUAACCAUUCUUCCAAAAGGCCCAACUUAAAGCCCUUUCACUGUGUGCUGAAGGUGAACGGAGAAGACAAGGAUGUCAUCCUCUUCAAGGCACUGCAGGACAUCACCGUGGACACACAAUUCAAAUUUGACUAUGGGGUAAAGAGAAAGUCUUUCCGUGGAGAGGGCCUGAACCUGGAGUGGCUGGAUGAGUAGGCUUCCAUGUACUUUUUUUAGUAGGUUACACAAAGAUGAGAUAUGUGGCUUGGAAAUUAGCCCGCUCAUUCUUCUCCUUGCCUACUUUUUUUCUCUUUAGCCACAAAAAAAAAAGUAAAAGACCAAUACAGAUAUUUUUUUUUCUUUCAAUAUUCAUAGUGGAAGUGCACCAGUCUGCUGUGACAGAAACCCCUGCUGCCCAUCAUCUGUUUGUCCUGGAGAGAGAAAGAUCACUGACUUCUCCAGCCAAGAUAAGUUCAACCAACUGUUUUAUAUGCUCCACUAAUCAUUCGAUUCACACAGACAGUCUGAGUCUAAUCUGCGAUUUCUUCUUCGUUGCAGCUACAAAUAACCAAACAUCAGCAGCUCACUCAGAAGAAGAAGAAGAAGAAGAAGUUUUAGCGUUCGUCCCACCUUUUAACAACUGGAGACAGUAUGUGCCAUGAUGCACAGUACACAGUAAUGAACCUGUUCAUUGCUUCUCUCCGUAUAUCAGUUUAUUCGGUUCAUUGUCUAGUGUUGGAUGUGUUUAUGCUCUCCAAGUGCUCAAAACUUCAGUCCACAAAAUUACACUUCCCCUAAAACCUUCUUCUUCCAGCAGGACCAUGGGGAAAUUUGACAGAGGGGGGCACACGCUGGAUCAAGCUUGCAAGACAUAUUCACAUCAACACGACAAAGGUAUUUAAAUUAAAACAAAACUCAUCCGACUCGUGAUUUCAUGACAUCAGUUAAUUUGCUUUGUUUUCAAUGCCAAGUACACCCAUAGCGCUGGUGCAGUCCGGCCUCGGGAUGUUGUGGACGCAGCUGAGCUGUUGGACUCGUUGGCCGGGUAUGUCUCUUCACCAACGAUUUGUACAGCUGAAAUGAGCAAGUUGUCCUCAUUUUUCUCAUAUCUUAAACCCUGUAUUCCUCACUUGUACAGCACUUCUUCGGACGAUGACACCUCCUUAGCUGAACUGGGUACAGCUGGAACCAGUUCGCGGAAAGACUUCUCUGCCUUUGUGACCAGAUUUCCGGUUUCUCUGGAGGGCCAGCCACCAACCAAAAGUUUGUAACGCUCUCUGCAGAGCUUUGCAGUUGAGGACAGUGUUGUUCCUAUACCAGGCAGGGAUGCAGCCAGUCAGGAUGUUCUCCACAGUGCAUGUGUGAAAUGAUUUGAAGGUUUUGGGUCUUAAACUGAACUUCCUCAGCUGUUUGCAGAAGAAAAGACACCGAUGAGCCUUCUUCAGCAAAGCGUCGGUGUGGAUGGACCAUGUGUGGUCCCCUGGUGAUGGGAACAAGAAGAAACUUAGCUCAUCAGCGCCACUGAUGCGGUGUAGCCUUUUCUCAAGCAGGGGAUGAAGUCCUUACAUAAGAAAACAUGCAUUAGGAGGUGGUAAAAUCAAUAAACAAUUUAUAAUACUAUUAUUUAUAAUUGUUGCACUGGACUUACUAUUGAUUCCUGUUGGAGGUUUUUGGAGGUAUGGGUCAAAAGAAUCCUUCCACAAUUAUCUCACAGGUGUGAAGUCAGCACUGAGUGUUUUCAGUGUCAGCACAAGUAGAAAAGGAGAAUACAUGCCUAUUUCUUCAACAACUGGCUUCAUCCUCCUUCAAACAAUCAGACAAAACAAUAAAAUCAAUCAAUUCAAUGAAUGCAGGUUUGCAUUUUUCUAAAAAAAAAAAAAAAAAAAAAAAAAAAAAAGUACAUUUCUAUAAUGUACUUAAAGUGCUCUAUUUUCAUGCACUAAUUUUGUACUUUAGUACUUUUAUACUAAAAAGUAGAAUUAAGAAUCUUAAGAACAUCUAAGUGUACUCAACUGUGCUAUUUUGAGACACCAUGAAAUAUGAACUAAAAUGUGCUUUUAAUAUACUAUCUCUGUAUUUACAAAAAAAAAAACAAACAAAAAAAAAAAACUACUUGUAGUACACUAUUGGUUCAAAUGUACUAUAAGUGCUAACUAAACAUUUUUUUAAAUACAGAGAUAGUAUAUUAAAAGCACAUUUUAGUUCAUCUUAAGAACAUCUAGAAGUAGAAUUUUUAGUAUAUUAAGUACAGAAUUAGUGCACAAAAAUAGAGCACUUUAAGUACAUUAUUGAAAUGUACUUUUUCACCUGGUUUCAGCAAUGAGUUCUUGGAUUUCUGUGUCUUCUUGUUGGGCUUUGGCAAUGUCUGACCAUUCUAUUGGAAAGGCUGCAAAGGAAGUUGAAGAAUCUAUGGGAACACAACUAUGGGAAAGUGUGUCUGGAAAAAUACUAUUGUCUUUUUCUGUACUUGACAGAGAAUUCAAAUUCUUGGAGACAGAUUCCCCAGUGUAUCAAUCGAGAUGAGGGUUUUGGAUCGUUGAAAACCCAGGUAAGAGCAGCUCUAGGGAUGACCAUUUGAAGUGAUCAUGCUAAGGUCUCCAUUUUUCUAUUGCCCAUACCACAGCACAACACUCCUUAUCCGAAACGGAGUAUGACUUUUCAGCUCCUCUUAAAAGACGUGAAGCAUAGCCGACUACAUGUUCCACUCCUGCAAUUUCUUGGGUUAGAACAGCUCCUACUCCAAGGUCGCUUGCGUCCAUCUGGACUCUGAAUGGUGCACUCAGGUCAGGGGGAAUUGUGAUUGGUGCACUAAUCAACUCGAAGGAAUUCUGACAUUCUUCGGUCCACAUCCACGUAGCUCCUUUCUUUUUCAAGGCAUGCAAUGGUGCAACCUUUUCUGAGAAUUUUGGAAUACAUCUCUGGUACCAGCCUGCCAUUCGUAGAAAUCGUUGCACUUCCUUCAGAGA